rnacentral:rRNA from 1 species
ACGGCUGCUAAUACCCCAUAUGCCGCGAGGUGAAAUGAAUUUCGCCUGAGGAUGAGCUCGCGUCUGAUUAGCUAGUUGGUGUAGGUAAUGGCUCACCAAGGCAUCGAUCAGUAGCUGGUCUGAGAGGAUGAUCAGCCACACUGGGACUGAGACACGGCCCAGACUCCUACGGGAGGCAGCAGUGGGGAAUUUUCCGCAAUGGGCGAAAGCCUGACGGAGCAACGCCGCGUGAGGGAUGAAGGCCUCUGGGCUGUAAACCUCUUUUAUCAAGGAAGAAGAUCUGACGGUACUUGAUGAAUAAGCCACGGCUAAUUCCGUGCCAGCAGCCGCGGUAAUACGGGAGUGGCAAGCGUUAUCCGGAAUUAUUGGGCGUAAAGCGUCCGCAGGCGGCCCUUCAAGUCUGCUGUUAAAAAGUGGAGCUUAACUCCAUCAUGGCAGAGGAAACUGUUGGGCUUGAGUGUGGUANGGGCAGAGGGAAU